AACAUCGCCACAAAGUCAAUAAAAACUUAAACAAAUACACAAAAACCUCCACAAUGACACACAAAACUUCCACAAAUACACAUAAAAUCUCCACAAAUUCACUAAAAACUUAAACUAAUACACAAUCUCUACAAACCUCCACAAUUUCACAAAAAACUUCCAUAAAAUCCCCACAAAACCUGCACAAAGACACAUGAAACUACCACUGCUCUUCCUUCUCUUCUUGCAGGUGAUGGAGGGUUGAAAGGACAAAUCAACACGACAAACAAGACGAGCCGCCACAGGAGCCUGAAGGGAAAGUAACGAGAGCAGCCAGGAGCUGAAACUGUGAGCAGAGGAACAGGCUGCUGAGGACCAGCUGGACGACUGUUUCCUGAACUGAAUCCUGAUUUCCUGUAAUCAAGUUUUGUGGACUGACAUGUUCUCUGGUUGCUGCUCUUUCUGUCAGAUCAGUAGGAAAUAUUGUGCUGCUCGCAAACAGA